UGCUGGUGUGUGCUUGCCAUUGCCAGCACGGCCCUCCUCAGAAGCUGCAGCUGGGCCUGGACGUCGACGACCACGCACAAGGAGACGGCGACCUGGACAUGAUCGGCCGACCACGACGACGCCCACAGAAUAAGGUAUAAUUUCUUCCGACAUUUCCGGUUGGAGGGAUGUCAUGUGCCAAGCAAAAGUCAUGGAUGGAGAAGACUGCUUGUUGUAUUGUGCCACCCUGCCACACGAGAGAGCUGGCUUACCAGGUUGCUCUAUUCUAUGGAGGUGUUCACAUUAAUAAACACCAAGGAUUUAUUUGUUGCCGUCACUGUGGUGGGGCACACCUGGAAGGAUUGUAGCUCUAGCUAGAAAGAAGGACAUUUCUUUGAAGAAUGUGAGGCAUUCCAUCCUUGAUGAGUGUGAUAAGAUCAUAGGUC